GAUGAAGAACGUAGCGAAAUGCGAUAAGUAAUGUGAAUUGCAGAAUUCAGUGAAUCAUCGAAUCUUUGAACGCACAUUGCGCCCGUCAGUAUUCUGGCGGGCAUGCCUGUUCGAGCGUCAUUACGCCCCUCAAGUCCCCUGUGGACUUGGUGUUGGGGAUCGGCGAGGCUGGUUUUCCAGCACAGCCGUCCCUUAAAUUAAUUGGCGGUCUCGCCGUGGCCCUCCUCUGCGCAGUAGUAAAACACUCGCAACAGGAGCCCGGCGCGGUCCACUGCCGUAAAACCCACCAACUUUUUAUAGUUGACCUCGAAUCAGGUAGGACUACCCGCUGAACUUAAGCAUAUCAAUAAGCGGAGGA
rnacentral:misc_RNA from 1 species